UACGUAGGCAGCAAGCGUUGUUCGGAAUUACUGGGCGUAAAGAGUGUGUAGGUGGUGUCGUAAGUUUGGUGUGAAAUCUCCCGGCUUAACUGGGAGGGUGCGCCGAAGACUGCGAUGCUGGAGUAUGGGAGAGGAAAGCGGAAUUCCUGGUGUAGCGGUGAAAUGCGUAGAUAUCAGGAGGAACACCUGCGGUGUAGACGGCUUUCUGGACCAUUACUGACACUGAGACACGAAAGCGUGGGUAGCAAACAGGAUUAGAUACCCUGGUAGUCCACGCCCUAAACGAUGCAUACUUGGUGUGAGCCAUUCAGUUGGUUCGUGCCGGAGCUAACGCGUUAAGUAUGCCGCCUGGGGAGUACGGUCGCAAGGCUGAA
rnacentral:rRNA from 1 species